UCAACUCAAUUCAUCUUGCUCAUUUUCUCAAACAAUGCCAGUAGAUUUGGAUUGGACAACCGAAUCUAGUGGAACCUCGGAUCAACCCGAAUCCGAUUCGUGGCGUUGGUUUGGGGCUCCGAUCCGAACGUAGGGUCUGGUUUGGUGCCUCUGAAACCCAAACUUCGGUUCCGAGGAGAGAGGGAGAGGGAGAGGGAAAACAAAAACACAGGACUCCCCAGCUGCUUCUACAACUCAUGGCUUUUCUUUUCCAGAAAUUUCAAGAGAUUCUUAUCUGUUUUUGUUAAAGCUGUGGUGGUUAAUAUUUGGAGAAAAUGCUACCUCUUAGAAAGCUGGGUUAUCACUUUGCUACUUCAGCUUCUUGUUCUGCUCUAUUCUGGAUCUUUUCUUGUAGUAGUAUCAAGGUUUCAAGGUCCAUACACCAAUUUGUAUUUGUUGGGUCCUCACAGAACAAGUUAAACAUGCAAAGUACUGUGUUGGGAUGUCAGCAUGAAGGGUUCGAACGUUCUUUACAAUCAUUUUGUUCCUUAGCUGGAACCAUCCUGGUUCAGGCUAGAGAUAUAGGUAAAAUAUGCAUGGAACUAGAAAAUGCAAUUGAAGAACAUAGAUUCAAUGAUGCUUGGAAGUUACAUGAGUUGCAUACGCAAAUGGAGGGUUUCCCUAGAAAAUCCGUCGUGAACAAAUUUUUAGCGAGUUUCACGGAAAGCCUAGACACCCAUUGGCUUGAGAAGGCUUAUGGAUUGGUGGAACAAGCUUUUGAGGAGAGCAAACAGAACUUGUUAGAGAAAGAUACUCUAAUUUAUCUUGCUUUUGGUCUUGCAAGAUGUGGGUUACCUGUUCCUGCAUCAACUGUUUUGAGGAAGUUGGUAGAAACAGAACAAUUUCCCCCGGUGGCUGCUUGGUCUGCUAUCUUGGCUCACAUGUCACAAACCGGUCCCGGAGCUUACCUUGCUGCAGAGUUGGUUAUUGAGAUGGGUUACUUGUUCCAAGAUGGGCGGGUUGAUCCACGUAAAAAGAGUAACGCUCCUUUGAUUGCUAUGAAGCCUAAUACAAUCACAUUUAACAUUGCUUUGGCGGGUUGUCUUCUAUUCAAAACUACUAGGAAAGCAGAGCAGCUUCUUGAUAUGAUGCCUCGAAUUGGUGUCAAAGCUGAUGCGAAUUUGUUGAUCAUUAUGGGUCAUAUUUAUGAACGAAAUGGGCGAAGAGAAGAGCUCAAGAAGCUUAAGAGACACAUCGAUGAAGCCCAUAACCUAAGUGAUGUUCAGUUUCGGCAAUUCUAUAAUUGUUUGCUUACGUGCCAUUUGAACUUUGGGGAUCUAGAAUCUGCAUCGAAUAUGGUUCUGGAAAUGCUCCGAAAGGCAAAGGAAGCACAAAAUUCUCUUGCUGCUGCUACACUUGUCUUUGAAGCUGCUAGAAGUGACAGAACAUCCUCUGCUGAACAAGUUUUGAUCCAUAGAAAAACAGAUGAAUUAGAGAAUGGUCGAUUAGGUCAGUGCCAUUCCAUAUCUUUUGAAGAUUUUUCCAGAGACCGGAAAUUUUUGAAACUUGAGGCUGAGGCUAAAGAAUUGCUUGGUAUUCUACUAGUGAAGUUGCAGAGGCAAGUGGAAUUGAUCACGACUGAACGUGGUAUUCUACAACCAACUGAAAGAAUUUAUGUGAAAUUGGUCAAGGCGUUCUUGGAAGCUGGCAUGACGAAGGAUUUGGCUGAGUUUCUAAUUAAGGCUGAGAAAGAGGACUCCCCGGUUUCCAUUGAUGAUUCAGUCUUGGUUCAUGUCAUUAAUUUGUGCAUUUCACUCGGAUGGUUAGAUCAAGCACAUGACCUUCUAGAUGAAAUGCGUUUGGCGGGUGUUAAAACCGGAUCUUCCGUCUAUGCCUCUCUCCUGAAAGCAUAUUGUAAAGCAAAUCGAGCAGGAGAGGUGUCAUCACUCCUACGAGAUGCUCGCAAAGCUGGGAUCCAAUUAGAUUCAAGCUGUUAUGAGGCACUAAUGCAGUCCCGGGUGCUUCAAAAAGAUACUCAGGGGGCCCUUAAUCUGUUCAAAGAAAUGAAAGAAGCUAAAUUACCAAGAGUGGAUCAUCAAGAAUUUGAGAUGUUGGUGAAGGGAUGUGCAGAGAGUGGUGAAGCAGGUUUGAUGGCAAAGCUCUUGCAGGAAAUUAAGGAAGGCCAAAGAGUAGAUUGUGGAGUUCAUGAUUGGAACAAUGUAAUCCAUUUUUUCUGCAAGAAGAGAUUGAUGCAAGAUGCUGAGAAGGCUCUUAAGAAGAUGACGAACUUAGGGCAUGUCCCAAAUGCUCAAACUUUCCAUUCUAUGGUCACUGGGUAUGCUGCUAUAGGGGGCAAAUAUACAGAAGUAACAGAACUAUGGGGUGAAAUGAAGUCUUUGGCUUAUUCGACAACAAUGAAGUUUGAUCAGGAACUGUUGGAUUCUGUACUUUACACAUUUGUGCGAGGUGGAUUCUUCAUUCGAGCAAAUGAAGUUGUGGAGAUGAUGGUGAGAGGGAAAAUGUUCGUUGACAAGUACAAGUACCGCACCCUUUUCUUGAAGUACCACAAAACACUCUAUAAGGGCAAGGCUCCAAAAUUCCAUACAGAAUCUGAAUUGAAAAGGAGAGAAGCAGCAUUGACCUUCAAGAAAUGGGUGGGCUUAUGUUGACCCUCAGCAUUGACCUUCCCUUCGUCUCUCUCUCUGUCUCUCUCUCACCUCUCUCUCUCUCUUAGCACCAUUGAUGCUCAACCUUUGAGCUUCGAAUGGGAGUCCUUAGAGUGUGAUUUUGUAAAAGUUUUGUAAAUGAAAGUUGGAAAGCUCAUCGUAUUCUUCGCAGUGGUAGUCUCGAAUAAAAAAUCCGACGAGGUCUGCAUUUUCGGAUUUGCUCCUCUUCAUUAUUUGAGGAAACUUUGUGAGGUUGGAAUAAGAUAUUUGGAAGAUGGUAGCAAAGUCAGAGUUUCCCAAGGAAUAGGAGCAUUACCAUCCAUAAUUCCUCAUGCUGAGAUCCUAAAGAUAAAGAUCAUACCUACCCUAUGGUCAGUAUUGGCCAGUCUUAUUACCGAUACAUGUGACCUCGCGUGUAUAAUUUUUAGUUCAUGAUUGUACAAUUCUGCUCAUGUAUUACCCAUAUAUAUAUAUAUAUAUUCUGCUCAUUUAUUGGUGAUGUUGGAAAGGAUGUUUGAUUCUAAAACUGAGAAGGCAUGCUGGAUCUAUAAAUCUGUCUUUCCUCAGUUUCGUUGGAAACAUCUAACAUAAUGAAAAAUGUUGCAGAUGAAUGUCUGUCAGUUUUUA